rnacentral:lncRNA from 1 species
CCGUCUCUUUGCAUCUCUCCCUAUCUCUUUUUAUUUCUUUUUUCCUUCUUCUCUCGUUCUUUUUUUCCUCCUUCCUCUGUCAAUCUCUGCAAUUUUUUUUUUCUCUUCUCCCUAUUUUGCAUCAUCUCCCAUAUCUCUCUCUUAUUUCUAUUUUUUUCUUCGCUUUCUCUUCUCUUCCUUCUUCUCCUUUUUCUUCCCGCUGUCUCCGUCUUCUUCUUUUUCUAUUUUUUCCUUCUUCUUCUUCCUCUCUCUCCUAUCUCAAUCUCUCCCACGGUCUAUUUCUUUUUCCUAGCUUCUUCUUGCUCUCUUCCUCUUCAGCCUAAAACCUAAAUAGAACCAUAUCAUACCACCAACUCCGGUUAACCAGAUUGGUUGGUUUCACCGAUUAUGGUCCGGUGUACGGUUCCAAAAUAACUAAUCUGAAGCCUUCGGUUCAAUGUCUGGGUUGAGCCCAAAAUCGAACCAACCCAUACCGAGCCCAUGUUUAGAACAAAUAAUCC